GUCGCUUUGGCCGAGUGGUUAAGGC
rnacentral:siRNA from 1 species